rnacentral:lncRNA from 1 species
CUGGCCUGUUAGCCCAGGGUCUGCCCCACCCACUAGAGCACCAAUUUAAUCCAGAUCAGCUAGGGCAGGCAGCCUGUCCUAGGAUCUGGUCCCACCCAACAGCAAGCCUUUGGGCAACUUUUCAGCCUACAUAGACUGGGUGCCUGGAUCCUCUGCAGACAGGCAAGAAUCUCUGCCUCUUCCACCUCAGCCAGGACCACCCCUCAUUGCAGGGGCUCCCCGUAUCCAGCUUUCAGCUCUCUAUCAGGGGCAACCAUUCCCAGAGCAGUUGCAAACUGGUUGCGUCCAUGGGAGGAGGUUCAAACGCCUGUUCACCCAGUCUAGGCCUACAGGAACAUGUCUUUCAACUUUUAUAAUUUAUAGACAGGUGACUGUCUGGCAUGAGUCAAAUCUACAAAAUAAAAAAAUAUGUAUGAACAGAUUUGGGAACUGUGAUGAAAACAACAUCAAUAUAAUUUGAAUGUUCAUAGCCAUUAUCACAUUGCCUGGUAAUUAGGC